CCUGUGUGACUGACAUAUAGAUCAUAAAAUAUUUCCAUACACCAAAUAUAGUUGAACUAUUGCAUAUAGUAUUAGAAAAAAAGACCAAAACUCAAAAACUUAACUUUGACCACUGAACCAUGAAAAUGAGGUCAAGGUCAGAUGACACCUGCCAGCUAGACAUGUACACCUUACAAUCAUUCCAUACACCAAAUAUAGUAGACCUAUUGCAUACAGUAUAAGAAAAACAGACCAAAACACAAUAAAAUGCUUCGCUGGGGCGCAGCGUGAUACGACCGCAGAGGUCGAACCCUGAACAGUUGGGGCAAGUAUGGACACAACAUUCAAGCUUGAUACAGCUCUGAAUUUGGAUUGUUAUUAAAUAUUUGACACAGCAUAGGUUUCUGACACAGAAAGAAUGUGGUCUAAGAACUUGAAUUUUUUUAAUUUACCUAUUAUGGUCCAAUGUCCAAAAUCAAAAUACAUGGUUAGAUUCAGCA